UACGUAGGGGGCAAGCGUUGUCCGGAUUUAUUGGGCGUAAAGAGCGUGUAGGCGGCCAUACAGGUCAGCUGUGAAACUCGAGGCUCAACCUCGAGACGUCGGUUGAAACCGUAUGGCUAGAGUCCGGAAGAGGAGAGUGGAAUUCCCGGUGUAGCGGUGAAAUGCGUAGAUAUCGAGAGGAACACCUGCGGCGAAGGCGGGUUGCUGGGCUGACACUGACGCUGAUGCGCGAAAGCCAGGGGAGCGAACGGG
rnacentral:rRNA from 1 species